rnacentral:rRNA from 1 species
GAUGAACGCUGGCGGCGUGCCUAAUACAUGCAAGUCGAGCGAAUAGACGAGGAGCUUGCUCCUUUGACGUUAGCGGCUGACGGGUGAGUAACACGUAGGUAACCUACCUAUAAGACUGGGAUAACUUCGGGAAACCGGAGCUACUACCGGAUAAUAUUUCGUACCGCAUGGUUCGAUAGUGAAAGAUGGCUUUGCUAUCACUUAUAGAUGGACCUGCGCCGUAUUAGAUAGUUGGUAAGGUAACGGCUUACCAAGGCAACGAUACGUAGCCGACCUGAGAGGGUGAUCGGCCACACUGGAACUGAGACACGGUCCAGACUCCUACGGGAGGCAGCAGUAGGGAAUCUUCCGCAAUGGGCGAAAGCCUGACGGAGCAACGCCGCGUGAGUGAUGAAGGUCUUCGGAUCGUAAAACUCUGUUAUUAGGGAAGAACAAACGUGUAAGUAACUGUGCACGUCUUGACGGUACCUAAUCAGAAAGCCACGGCUAACUACGUG